rnacentral:rRNA from 1 species
UACUCGAGUGGCGAACGGGUGAGUAACACGUGGGUGAUCUGCCCUGCACUUCGGGAUAAGCCUGGGAAACUGGGUCUAAUACCGGAUAGGAGCCAUUUUUAGUGUGAUGGUUGGAAAGUUUUUUCGGUGUAGGAUGAGCUCGCGGCCUAUCAGCUUGUUGGUGGGGUAAUGGCCUACCAAGGCGGCGACGGGUAGCCGGCCUGAGAGGGUGGACGGCCACAUUGGGACUGAGAUGCGGCCCAG